GGACGAACGCUGGCGGCGUGCCUAACACAUGCAAGUCGAGCGAGGAGAGUCCUUCGGGAUGAUCCUAGCGGCGGACGGGUGAGUAACACGUGGGCAACCUGCCUCAUAGAGAGGAAUAGCCUUCCGAAAGGGAGAUUAAUACCUCAUAACAUUGCAGUUUCGCAUGGAACAGCAAUUAAAGGAGUAAUCCGCUAUGAGAUGGGCCCGCGGCGCAUUAGCUAGUUGGUGAGGUAACGGCUCACCAAGGCGACGAUGCGUAGCCGACCUGAGAGGGUGAUCGGCCACAUUGGGACUGAGACACGGCCCAGACUCCUACGGGAGGCAGCAGUGGGGAAUAUUGCACAAUGGGGGAAACCCUGAUGCAAGCAACGCCGCGUGAGUGAUGACGGCCUUCGGGUUGUAAAGCUCUGUCUUCAGGGACGAUAAUGACGGUACCUGAGGAGGAAGCCACGGCUAACUACGUGCCAGCCGCUGC
rnacentral:rRNA from 1 species